AAAAAGAUAAGCUAAAUAAGCUUUCGGGUUCAUACCCCGACGAUGGGCAUGGCCCUCUUUUUA
rnacentral:tRNA from 1 species